GGAAGACUGACACAAGGAAGAUGAUUGACACAUGGAAGAUGAUUGACACAUGGAAGAUGAUUGACACAUGGAAGAUGGGAUGUGCCCUGUUUUGCAGGUGCUGAGUAUCAACGUCAUCCGUGCAGCUGAGAACCCGGCUCCCUUGCUGAUGGAAAAAAUUAAAAUUAAAGCUUCACUGAUCAUCCUAA